CAAGUUAAUCUGAUCAGUAAUCUUUGCUCAGUGAGGAGUGUGCUGCUGGUCUUAUCUAGACUCCUUUUGAGAUUAGGCACAAGAGUGAAGAAUUGCAGGGCUUGGCAGUUUAUUUGCUGUUGAUCAUUCCCUGUUCAUAUUUUCCAUGUGUUUUAUGGGGGUAGGAUGAGUAUGCUCCAUUUCACAUGGCUGAGAUAAUAUUCCCCUGGAAUGGGGAAGACAUGGAUUAACCUAAAUGGGAAAGAAAUGCCAGCAAGAAUCCAAACCCACCAAAACCAAACCAAGCCUCUGGGGCUUUGGGGAGGGUCCUGGUGUUUGAGAGGUAAAAACCAGCUUCUCAUGAUUUCAUCAAGCCAUGGUUGCUGUCCUGCUGCCCUCACCCUAUACUGGUGGCCCCACUGAAAGCAAUGGCCCAGUUUAAGGGCUAGGACACUCCGGAUCAGCAGUACACUUCAAUAUGCACUCAACUGAAACAUCCAAACAAUCCCUUUGAAUUCGGUGGCUGCACUCACAGAGUUAAAAAUAAGCCUGCUGUUAAGUGCCUUCAUCAGCUCUAGGUCUAAUUAUUUACUUUACAUGAGUAGUUCCAGAGGAACUCGGGGCUUUGCUGUUUGGGUUAGGAAACAAGAAAAAUAGCCCACGCUUCUGGUUUACGCAGUGGCGAAAUGAAGCAUGCUUUUUUAAAACUAAUUGGUGUCUUCAAAAUUCUGGGGAGCAUUUUCACCUGGCAUCAACCAGCCCAGCUCUAGUGGGGCCCACAGAGAUGAAUGUCACCCGAAGCAGUGCUCUGAGAGACUACAGUCAUGAUUGCCAAUAGCCAACAUCCAGACUAAAAAUAAAAACCCUCAGCAUGGGACUGAGCGACAAGCAAUCCAUCCUCUGGCAAAAAUCACCCAUCACCUCACCCCUCCAGCCCUGUCUUCUUCAUGCUGAAAGAAGCAAUAUCUAACAGGAUCAUCAAGAGAUCAAGGUGGCUCAUUGAAAGCACUAGGUGAGCUGAUCUCUCCAUUUUGUGAAUGUCUGUGUUUAACAGCCAUCAGAUUUUGGCUGGUCAGUGCACACAGUGCAGGGAAAGAGAAGGUUUGUCAGUGGAAUAUUUAUUUGGCUCCUGGAGAAUUCUGGGGAGCUGUUACAAAAUCCCUAUUUUUGGCCCCAGAAAUAACACAUCACCUUUUUCUUUUCCCCUAUGCUUUCAACAGUCACCUUUUGCAGAGGUGGAUUAGGCUGAAAGGAUCCCACCUGCAGAAGGGAAGGAAACCUAAGGGAAACAUAUUCUGGGAGAGCCACAGUCCCUGCCUUACUUCCUCCUGGCUGUCACAGGAAUUGAGACCUCAGGGUUUGGCCUAGUCUAUGACUUUUUGCAUAUUACACCUGAGAUGGGCUGAAAUAUUUAUUUCCCCUUCUUUUUCAUUAGUAUUUAACACGCAAGGAGAAUCUGUCUAUUUGCCAGGCUGACCUUGCUCAGAAUGGGGUCUAGAGACCAGUGCUUUCCAUGCCACCAGUAGCGUAUACACUUGGGCUAAGCAGAAGUACUUCUGGCAGCUGAUCCACCAGUGUUAGGGCUGAUCCUGGCCCUGCAACCAAAGCUUUCCUGAGUUUUACAUGUGGUAACCUCACAAGAUGAAGACACUAAAAAAUAAUGUGGCACUCUACCCUUGUGACAAUACAUGAAAGGCCACAUCUUUGAA